CCUACGGGGCGCAGCAGUGGGGAAUAUUGCACAAUGGGCGCAAGCCUGAUGCAGCCAUGCCGCGUGUGUGAAGAAGGCCUUCGGGUUGUAAAGCACUUUCAGCGGGGAGGAAGGCGUUAAGGUUAAUAACCUUGGCGAUUGACGUUACCCGCAGAAGAAGCACCGGCUAACUCCGUGCCAGCAGCCGCGGUAAUACGGAGGGUGCAAGCGUUAAUCGGAAUUACUGGGCGUAAAGCGCACGCAGGCGGGCUGUCAAGUCGGAUGUGAAAUCCCCGGGCUCAACCUGGGAACUGCAUUCGAAACUGGCAGGCUAGAGUCUUGUAGAGGGGGGUAGAAUUCCAGGUGUAGCGGUGAAAUGCGUAGAGAUCUGGAGGAAUACCGGUGGCGAAGGCGGCCCCCUGGACAAAGACUGACGCUCAGGUGCGAAAGCGUGGGGAGCAAACAGGAUUAGAUACCCGAGUAGUC
rnacentral:rRNA from 1 species